AUGCAUCUAUUUGACAGACCUGGAACAGUUAAGGUCUGCUUCUUAUGUUUCUACUACAGAUGCAAGAAAAAGAUCCUUGUGCUUUCUGUCUGUCUGAUUGUGGCAGAAGAUUGAAUGGGACAAUCCA
rnacentral:snoRNA from 1 species